UAGGGAAUCUUCCACAAUGGACGAAAGUCUGAUGGAGCAACGCCGCGUGAGUGAAGAAGGUCUUCGGAUCGUAAAACUCUGUUGUUAGAGAAGAACACGAGUGAGAGUAACUGUUCAUUCGAUGACGGUAUCUAACCAGCAAGUCACGGCUAACUACGUGCCAG
rnacentral:rRNA from 1 species